GGACUACUGGGGUAUCUAAUCCUGUUCGCUCCCCUAGCUUUCGCGCCUCAGCGUCAGUUGCCAGCCAGGACACUGCCUUCGCCUUUGGUAUUCCUCCGGAUAUCUACGCAUUUCACCACUCCACCCGGAAUUCUAUGUCCCUCUCUGGCCCUCAAGCCCCACAGUUUUCGGAAAACCUUGCUCAGUUAAGCCGAGCACUGUCACUCCAAACUUGCACGGGCCGCCUACACGCCCUUUACGCCCAGUAACUCCGGACAACGCUCGCCCCCUACGUAUUACCGCGGCUGCUGGCAC
rnacentral:rRNA from 1 species